AGCUGUUGCGCUGUGGUAAAUGAGCGUGGACUGUAUUUAUUGCUUUUGAGAAAUUUAUUAGUCCUUAUGUGACAAAUUAAAGAUUGAAUUUAAUAGAAACAUGAAAUCGAUGUGUCGCUCCAUAUUUCAGUAGUCGCUCCUGGCGGCUGAAAUUGAAAGGAAAAAAGUGUCUUAGCUAUGGUCAUAGCGGACGUCACUCGUUGAGACUUUGACGUUCCGAAAUCCGAGCAGCAGCAGAUUUGAUUAUAAAACUAUUUUCUUCUAAAUUUAAAAAGUCAGGUGCCUCCAUGUUUUCUCUUAGCAAUUAUCUAAAUAGUAAAAAGUAGCGUCAUAAAAUUAAAUGUAUAAGCGCGGCUUUUGUCUACUUCUAUUUGAAGAGAAGGAUAACCGUUGUUCGAGAUUUCGAUCUUAUUGUACUACUUUUUAGCUCUGGACCUGUGGUAUUUUAUAUAAAUAUAAAUUCGAUAAGAAAUUUUUUAUCUAUGU